rnacentral:rRNA from 1 species
GGACCCGCACAAGCGGUGGAGCAUGUGGUUCAAUUCGAUGCAACGCGAAGAACCUUACCUGGCCUUGACAUCCUCGGAACUUGGCAGAGAUGCCUUGGUGCCUUCGGGAACCGAGAGACAGGUGCUGCAUGGCUGUCGUCAGCUCGUGUCGUGAGAUGUUGGGUUAAGUCCCGCAACGAGCGCAACCCUUGUCCUUAGUUGCCAGCACUUCGGGUGGGCACUCUAAGGAGACCGCCGGUGACAAACCGGAGGAAGGUGGGGAUGACGUCAAGUCAUCAUGGCCUUUAUGGCCAGGGCUACACACGUGCUACAAUGGCCGGUACAAAGGGUUGCCAACGCGCAAGCGGGAGCCAAUCCCAGAAAGCCGGUCGUAGUCCGGAUCGGAGUCUGCAACUCGACUCCGUGAAGUCGGAAUCGCUAGUAAUCGCGAAUCAGCAUUGUCGCGGUGAAUACGUUCCCGGGUCUU